AGACCGCAGGCUGCAACUCGCCUGCACGAAGUCGGAAUUGCUAGUAAUCGUAGGUCAGCAUACUACGGUGAAUACGCUCCCGGGCCUUGUACACACCGCCCGUCAAACCAUGAGAGUUGGCAACACCCGAAGUCGGUAGUCUAACCGCAAGGAGGACGCCGCCGAAGGUGGGGUUGAUGAUUAGGGUUAAGUCGUAACAAGGUAAC
rnacentral:rRNA from 1 species